rnacentral:rRNA from 1 species
AAAUAAUUUUUAGUCUAAUCUGCCCAAUGAAAAUUUUAAUGGCUGCAGUAUCAAUAACUGUACAAAGGUAGCAUAAUAAUUAGUUUUUUAAUUGAAAACUAGAAUGAAAGAUUAAAUGAAAUAUAAACUUUAUUAAUAAAAUUAAAAUUAAACUUAAAUUUUAAGUUAAAAUUCUUAAAUAUUAUUAAAAGACGAGAAGACCCUUUAGAAUUUUAUAUAAAUUAAAAUUAAAAUUAUAAAUAUUAAUAAUAUAAAUUUUAAUUAAUAUUUAAUUGGGGUAAUUUUUUAAUUUUAUAAACUUUAAAAUAAUAAAACAUUAAUUAAUGAACUUAUAAACCUA